UCAGACAAUGAAAGGCAAUGGCGCCCAAAGCAACAUUUGUUUGACUUAAGUGUAUAGAAAAAAACACAGACACUCAAAAAAAUAAAAUAAAAAAAAUAAUUAUAAUUGUGUUCCACAGAAGAAAGACAAUGACAAAUGUCUUUUUUGUAUGAACUCUCCCAUCAAGUCUGCAAAUACAUCUUAGGGCCACUUUACAUAAACACAGAAGGUCAGAGGUAAAGGAAGUCUGAACUAUCAGUUUGUGAACGUGAUUUCCUCAGUGGCACGUUUAAUGCAUAUUAAUCUGUUUUUCAAUCCAAGAAUCCAUGACAAUCUAAGCGACGAGCUCUGCACCUCUUCGUUCUCACUUCGCUGAAACGCUUCACCAAAAAUCUCAGUGCCGCCGCUACGUCCUCCUACUCCAGAAGAGAGAAGUGAAAGAUUACUGCGUGGGGCUCAUUAAGAAUGUUUUAUUUUGUCUGCAAUUUUUUCCCCCCAGUCUAUUGUCUCUCCACCCUCUCAGCGAAAGUCUCGACGGAGUCACAGCCUUGGGUGCAUCGGAGCGAUGAGACAAAUGCAGAAAAUGAACUGGAAGAAAACUGGGAGGUGAAAAAAACGCGCGGCUGGCCGACGAUGGCCGAAAACUCAAAGGAGAAAUGGUUACACUGCAUCGCCAGCUUGCCUCAUCUGAAUCCCUGACUCCUGACCUCCCCUGAGGAAGGUGCUCACUGUCAGAAGAACCCCCGGCAUCCUACCGCCACAGAAAGGUGAUUCCUUUAAAGCACCAGGAACGGAUGAAGGAGCGAGAGGGGGCUGCGCGAGGCAGGCAGACGGGGAGGGGAGCUGUCGUUUGUGUCAGGUUAACCUCAGAGACACAUCCGGAGCUCAGCAUCUGGGAGACGGAGGGGAGAGAGAGAGGCACCGCCGCUCCAUUUGGCGCAAUUUCACCACGGCAGCAACAGAUAGCAACAAAAGUCCCGUUGAGGUCUUUAAGGUUGUUAUUGGACACUUUGAGCAGUGAAUCGUUUGGCAUUUGGUGUUCUGUGAGGAGCGACGGUGGGCAUGUGUUAACUACACACAGGACACUCGAGCGAAAACCAGACGCCUACCGAAUCCUUCAAUCUGUCAUUUCCUCUCGCAGCUCCCGAGCAAGAUAAAAAUAAAGCGAGCACAAAACACUUCUCUCUUAUUACUCUGUCAAAAUAAUGCUCUUCACACUUUAGUUCACUUCUCGGUAGCCUUUACUUGGAAACAUGUUGCAGUGAGCAUAUUGUUUAGAAAAUAAGUAGGCCUAAUUUUUUUUUUUUUUUUUUGCCAUGGGUGUUCAGCGAAUGAUCUAGGAUCAGUAUCAAAAUACAAGAAACAGUUAAAAAAUGUUUUAAGUUGUAUUAGGAAUCUAGC